UAGACCACUGCGUUCCUCUGUCGUUGUGAUGGGUUUAUGCCUGGACGUGGCUCUCAACCCAGGGUGAGGAGUCUUCUCCUGUGCCCCUAACCGGGAGGGGGGYGUGAGACUAGCAGCCAGCCUGCCAUCACAGGAGCAGGGUGCUGAGAAGGAAGCCAGCCCCAAGGAUGCCAAAAUGAAGGGCAGAGAAACUGGAUCUGGGUUCAGGUCCUGGAAAUACUGUGUGCUCCUGGAUCCAGCCGUACUGAAACCAGUCACCGCUGGGCCUUCUAGUUGUGUGAAUCAACRAAUUCCUCCCUUUGGGCCUAGCAAGAAACAUCGGUGAAGCAGCUGCAUCUUCUGGGGACAAGGAACAGCCAACUCAAGGCUGCUUUCUGCAAUCCUGCCUCCUCACACUUGUUAAGUGUCCUUCCAUGCACCUGGCAGAGCACUGGGCACAUUUCAGGUGCUCCAGGAAUUAUUGGAGGUUUUCAAAGCCACUCUGGGGGACAGAGCUAUUGGUCCCAUCCCACAGAGGAGGAAGUYGAGGCUGAGGAAGGUCAAGAUCCGGUUAAAAUCAAGCUCAAGUUCCCAGAGAGCCUGGCUCCAAACCCCAGCCUCUUCGCUUCUCCGCRCGCCCCGUGGCAGCCAGCUGGAGCGGCCCACUCGGCUUCCCUCGGUGGACAGCAAGCAAGGCCGGCCAUCCAGGGAGGCGGCCCAGCCCCAGCACAACUGCCCCGGGGGGCCAGGGUGGUGUUGGGGGAUAUUUAGCUGCACAGYGCACUCCGCAUGCCAGGGCUGUAGGAGCCCACACGCCCAGAGCCAGGCCUCAGGCUGGGGCUCUGCCCAAGCCACGUGUGACCUCCCCAAGCAGGAUCCAGUUACAUCACAGCAGCAGCCCAAGGAACAGACCUGGCUGUGUCUCUCGCCACGUGCUUAUUUCCUCUGCCUUGUGAGUGUUGAAAAAUGAAAGGAAUGAUAAGGGUUUGGGGGUGUGGUGGGGGGCUGGCUGGAAAAUCCUGCAGAACUUGGGUAACUCAGCCGGAGGGAAGCACGGAGGAGUCCUCAGAGAGAGAAAAAAAUCUCACAAGGUUAUAGGGUUAGUUGCAUCAGAACAUCCUCCAGCCUGGGAGCGGRGGCUUCUGGAUUCCUGCUCCUCGUUGGGGGAUGAAGGUCCAGCCUUGGGACAGAAGGUUCACAUYCUGGGGUUCUGCUGCUGGCCUCCCAGAGCCGGGCCACCAAAGCCCUCUGGGCCUCAGCUACUCUUGCAAGGAAGAGUUGGGGAAAUGCAUGCAGACCAGAGGCCCCUGAGGGGCAGUUUUGCUCCUCGGGGACAUUUGGAAAUGUCCAGGAACACAUUUUUUGGUAGUCAGAGCUGAGAAGGGCAACUAGUGARUAAAGACCAGGGAAGCCAGACACCCUCAGUGCCCACAACAGCCCCCGCCACAGAGAAUGCUCCUGUCCCCAGUGUCAACAGCCUGUGGUUUAGAGAAGGCCGGUGUGGAGUCUGGAAGGUGUAGCAGUGCAGGCCCAUCGGGAAGCUUAAGGGAAGGCGGCAGGAGGCGUCCUGGAAGCCUCCACGUGGGCUGCCUCCGAGGAAGCGUCUGUGUCCAUCAGACAACAGAUGUUUACCCAGCGUCCAGCGGAGCCAGCACUCUGCCAGGAGCUGGGCAGAAUUGAACAACUUCUCACCUCAUGCAGUGUCUGAUCCAGAGGGGCAGAAAGAGCCAGACGGAGUAGGCAAGCAAGUCAGUGACAUGGCCCCCGUCACCAUCAAGGAUGGUAAAUGGAUGAACCACCGCCRUCUGUCCAGACACUGCGAGACUGUUCAGCCACCGAGGGAGGAUGUUCUGAUGCAACUAUGACCCGGAUGAACCUGGAAGGCCUUAUGCUCAGGGGAAGAAGCCCAACCCUGCAGACCACAUGCCACUGAUGGCAUUGCUGUGAAAGAACAGGAAAAUGGGUAGAGACAGGAAGUAGCUGGUUGCCAGGGACCGAGAGAGCUGGGGGAAAUGGARGAGGACUGGUAACGGCUACAGAAUUUCUUUUUAAGACAUCAUCUUCCGUGGCCGCCCCAGCACCCGGGGGACGGCAUUUCCUGCUGCACCCCGCGCGGGCUGGAUCACAUGACCUCUCUCUGGCCAAUGAGAUGCGAGCUGAAGUGACGCGAGUUGUUUCCGGGCAGAAAGUUGAAGAGCCAGUGACAGCUGGCGAGGGGAGCUGAGUUGCGCCUGGACACUCCGUCCUCUAUCGAAGUCUGAGCCCGGGGCAAAGGCGACACAGCGCGGAGCUGGAGCCACCUGGCCGGAGAGGCAGCGACCCUCAACUGAAGCUCGCGUGGAGAUUGGGGUCGUGUGCGCAGCCGUCGCCGAGAACCGGCCCGGGGUCCUCGGCGCCUGGGGCGGAGGGGGGGGCGUGAUGACUAACAGUGCAACGCUUAGUGCUCAAAAAUGGUGGAGAGAAUCAAUUUCUGCUCGCAGACCAGAGUGACCCUCCUGCCCGCUGAGGGUGGGAUCUUCUAAUGGCAGUUGGGAGGGCUCGGCCUGAGGUUUGUAUGCACCCCGGGAGGAAGCGCCUCCCUGAGUCAGAGGCCGUGACCUUCUGCUGCUCCCUGGGGAACUCCCCGCCUGCUCCCUGCCACCCACCCGCAGCAGCUCUGUGGACAGAGGCUGCUUCUGUGAGAUGACAUUGUUGGCCUCCCCUGCUAGCCAGGGUUGGGUUGGUGAGCUUGCUGCAUGGGGGCUGGGAGGGACAGCCACCAGAGAUCCAUAGGGUGACCCUAGACACCUCUUUUUGGCUAUAACUUUCCCCCAAUGACUGAGCCCGAGACCAAUACCUUCUGCAGCCCCAGACUUCGCUUUUCCUGUGGUGUGGGGUCCUUGCUGUCCCAUAGCACUGGCCUUAUUGCAGUGAUCUAUCCCUAAGUUUUUUUCCAGUGACCUGUGGUCCCUUCUUGACCAGAUGAUUGACAUCACGGCUGGAGGUCUUCAGAGUUUGGGCUUCUCAGCUGGGUUCCCCUCUCGGCUCCACCCACGUGCCAUGUAGACAGCAGGUGUCGGUGAAGACAGGUUCUUCUCUCCCAGGUUGAUGGCCUGGUGGUGCUGGCACAGGAUGGAGGGCAGCCCCAGCUGUGGCCAGCCCUAGCUGUGGCCCGCUCUCUGCAGUCUGGUUCUUGGUGGUCAGGCAAGGGAACCACUGGUGUUGGGAAGGGCUCUGGCAAGGAACCAGGCACUUCCCUCUGCCCUCAGGUCUGGGCUCCAUUUCCUCUCCUGGUCUUUGCCCACUUCUCUCCUCCUGGCAGCU